rnacentral:rRNA from 1 species
UACGUAGGGGGCAAGCGUUGUCCGGAAUCAUUGGGCGUAAAGAGCGUGUAGGCGGUCCCGAUAAGUCGGGUGUGAAACCCCCCAGGCUCAACCUGGGGACGCCACCCGAUACUGCUGUGGCUAGAGUCCAGUAGGGGAGUGUGGAAUUCCCCGGUGUAGCGGUGAAAUGCGCAGAUAUCGGGAGGAACACCAGCGGCGAAGGCGAGUCCCUGGAAAACACCUGACACUGAGGCACGAAAGCUAGGGGAGCAAACAGG